CUGUCAGUACCUACAGCUUUAUAUGACAAGUCCCAUCUCUGUACCAGUGAAAUACAUGACAGUACUUGGCUACAGGGACUGGUGUAAUUACUUUGUAUUAAUAUAUUGACUCUAAUAACCUGUUUGUCUUAUAUCUAAUUUUAAAAGAAUUAUGUCUAUUUUUUUGGAUGUGUUUAUUUUUUUCACUUGGUUUAUCUAUGUAUUUUUUGUUGUGUUUUGACAAUAUUUGAAUUCCUUCCAAAGUUUUGGAAGGCUGGGUCUGUGUAUGAUAUGUAACCGAUUCCUUGGUAUAUGAUGUCUAACCAUGAGGGGCUUUUAUAUUAGUUGGAAGAAUAUUUUUUGCAUUUAGAGUUGGGCCUUGCUCUUGGUGAUACUAGUAUAUGUAUCUCCAAAAUAUAGAAUCUCAAAUGAAUCUUUAUUUAUUGAAAAUGAAAUGCUAAGUAUUUUCUCUUUCACAUAUGUGUGUAUUACACAAUAUUACUACAUUGUAAUUGAUCAUAAGUCUAUCAGUGGGGCUGCUUUUCUGCCCCAAUAGUUAAGACUGAUCUACUAUACACAGUGCAAUGUGCAAGUGCAUAUGUUUUUCUUCACCUAGUCUCUCUGUUACCACGGUACAUUCCACCCCCCCCCCCCUCUCUCUGCAGUCCUGACCACCCCCUCUCUCCUUAGCGCCCCCCCCCCCCCACACGUGGUUUGCCAGAGACAUCAGUACAAUCAGAUAUUUUACCUCAACCCAUUAGUGAUUGUUCACAUUUGAGUUGUAACCAUUUCUAUACAAAAUAAUCAUAUGAGAAUGUGAGGAAGAAAUCCAAAAUGCUAUUUAACAAUAACAAUAAAUUAUGCUUUAAU
rnacentral:misc_RNA from 1 species